UACGGAGGGUGCAAGCGUUGUCCGGAAUCACUGGGCGUAAAGGGCGCGUAGGCGGCUCAUGAAGGCUGUGGUGAAAGUCCGGGGCUCAACCUCGGAUCGGCCGUGGCGACUCGUGGGCUGGAGCACUGUAGAGGCGGGUGGAAUUCCGGGUGUAGCGGUGGAAUGCGUAGAGAUCCGGAAGAACACCAGUGGCGAAGGCGGCCCGCUGGGCAGUAGCUGACACUGAGGCGCGACAGCGUGGGGAGCAAACAGG
rnacentral:rRNA from 1 species